rnacentral:rRNA from 1 species
UACGUAGGGGGCUAGCGUUGUCCGGAAUCAUUGGGCGUAAAGAGCGUGUAGGCUGCUCGGUAGGUCCGCUGUAAAAGUCAAAGGCUCAACCUUUGAAUGUCAGUGGAUACUGCCGGGCUAGAGUCCGGAAGAGGCGAGUGGAAGCUCCUGGUGUAGCGGUGGAAUGCGGCAGAUAUCAGGAAGAACACCAACGGCGAAGGCAGCUCGCUGGGGACGGUACUGACGCUGAGACGCGAAAGCGUGGGGAGCAAACAGG